rnacentral:rRNA from 1 species
GCUUUCGGGCUUCGACCGGCGUACGGGUGCGUAACGCGUAUACAAUCUGCCUUUCACAUAGGGAUAGCCCGAAGAAAUUUGGAUUAAUACCUAAUAGUAUAUAGGUGUGGCAUCACAUUUAUAUUAAAGCUGAGGCGGUGAAAGAUGAGUAUGCGUUCUAUUAGCUAGUUGGAGAGGUAACGGCUCCCCAAGGCUACGAUAGAUAGGGGUUCUGAGAGGGAUAUCCCCCACACUGGUACUGAGAUACGGACCAGACUCCUACGGGAGGCAGCAGUGAGGAAUAUUGGACAAUGGUCGGAAGACUGAUCCAGCCAUGCCGCGUGCAGGAAGACGGCCUUAUGGGUUGUAAACUGCUUUUGCAGGGGAAGAAUAAGGACUACGAGUAGUUUGAUGACGGUACUCUGCGAAUAAGCAUCGGCUAACUCCGUGCCAGCAGCCGCGGUAAUACGGAGGAUGCGAGCGUUAUCCGGAAUCAUUGGGUUUAAAGGGUCCGUAGGCGGGCUAAUAAGUCAGAGGUGAAAGCGCUCAGCUCAACUGAGCAACUGCCUUUGAAACUGUUAGUCUUGAAUGGUUGUGAAGUAGUUGGAAUGUGUAGUGUAGCGGUGAAAUGCUUAGAUAUUACACAGAACACCGAUAGCGAAGGCAUAUUACUAACAAUUAAUUGACGCUGAUGGACGAAAGCGUGGGGAGCGAACAGGAUUAGAUANCCUGGUAGUCCACGCUGUAAACGAUGGAUACUAGCUGUUUGGUUGUAAGACUGAG